rnacentral:tRNA from 1 species
GCUUACGUAGCUUACACAAAGCAUAACACUGAAGAUGGUAAGACGGGCCCUAAAAAGUACCGAAAGCA